CGAAUCAUGAGUUUAGAAAAUAUCUUAGUUGUCUGUGGUUCUUCUUAUCACUUGGGAUGUAAUGCCGCCUCUGACCACAAUUACAAAUUGGCGCUGUUUGUUUAUCAAGUGGUUGAUUCUACAGGAAAGGAAGCAGAAGUGCACAUGUUUCAGUAAAGCUAGUUUACUGUAAACAUUUGCCAAAAUAUGACAUGCAUGCCUCAUCUGGCCUUCAUAUCAGUGAGUUAAUUUGUUCCUGACCUCGUGGAUGGAUGAUGAUCCCCCAUCCUAACUAUGGAACUAGGGAACAAGACCCUGUGCAUUGUCUGCAAGGAAUCUGGUGGAAGGGACAUAACUGCUGUCACAGCUCCUAAGCUGCUUCACCAAGUAAAACUGUUUGAGGAAUCCGGACUGAUCACCAAUGAUGCGGAUAUCAAUCUUUCACAGAGACUGUCAGCUGUCAAUGCAGAAACUUUACAGGAUGGAUAUAAAAUCCACAAGAGUUGCUAUGAUCGCUAUAAUAACAGCCAUUUCAAUUGUGCGAAGGAUCGUAAACGGAAAAGAGAACUGGACCUUGCAGAUCACCAGACUA